rnacentral:miRNA from 1 species
CCCCAGGCUGGGCUGGGCCAGUAUCUCUUUGAGAGGCUCACUCUCAAGCAUGAGUAGGAGCCUC